AACAAGGUCCACAGUACGAGAAAAGCCAAAAGGCCCUGUAACGUUAGGUCCACCACCAUAUUGUAAUGCUCAUGCAUUUUCAUAUCAUUGGCAAAACUACUACUGGUGUGCCUGGGUCAAGACUGUUGUUAGUCAGUGUUGUCAGUCAGUACAGGGCCAACAUUUACUAAUAGAAGACUGGUAAAAUGCACAUGGCAGAAAUGAGUUGUUUCUUACACCCACAUCAUCUCUCAGAUCUGCAUGGAGAAGUGAAGUGUCAACUUAGAAUAAAUACAGUUAAGGAUUCUCUUGUGUCCUACACAGGGUAAUUGAAAAGUCAUUCAAAACUUAAAACCAAUGUACCAAGAUAACAUCCAAACUCCUUUUUGACAUGGGAGUUUCCACUGUGUACAAUGUAAAGAUAUUUGGCUCUGGGACAAGACUUUAUGUGACAAAAAAUCACCAAAGCAUCCAAAAGCCUAAAUUGACGGCCUACCCAGUGUCUAAUCCUGAGUGGAAUGGGAAGACCACCCUGCUGUGUCUGGCUCGUGAAAUGUUUCCAGACAUAGUCAAGAUCUCAUGGAUGACGGUGGAUGGAAGGGGCCAAAAAGUGGUUGUGCAAAACGGACCGGAGGAACAGCUGGAACAGAUAGAUGAAGGACAGACAAUCAGUAUGAUCAUCAUUGAUAAAGUGAUGGCCAACGCAAACAAAUACAGCUGUUCUGUAAAGCAUGAAAGGGGCAUUCAAGAGGUUGACAUACCAAAUGAGAAACAAUCUGAAGCUCCUCCAGCCACCAAGGUAGCACCAACCUGUCCUCCCAGAAAUUACAAUCAGGACCCAGCGACUCUGGAGGUUGCAGACGAUUCCUUCCAGUCAAUGUUCAGUCUGAAUCUGGCCUCUCUGGCUUAUACAGUGAUGAUAGUGAAGAGCCUGGUGUACAGCUGUGGACUCGCAGUCCUGCUUCAACUCAGGAAUACUGGGAAGUAGACCCAGCAGCCUCUACAUUUACUGAAAAGAUAAUCAUCAGUAUUGAUAGUUUUAGUGGGUUUUGAAAAACAAUGAUUUUUAGACUUUUCAUUGUCUGCUAGCUUUUUGUUAUAGCUUGUUUUAUAUUGUAAUAUUAAUUUAGAAAGGGUUUGUACUGUGUUUCCCUGCAUAAAAACUUAAAUGACUUUAAUUUAAUGUAUGUCGGAGGUAACCCCUGUAGACAUUUAGGCAAAGGUUCAGGUUUUCUGAUGAAUUAAUACAGCUGAUCUUGAAGAUGUUUGAUGAAGAGUGUGUUAUAAACACAAUUCGUAAA